ensembl:lncRNA
CCUCACAUUCGUCUUCAUUAAAGAGCCGUUGACUGGGUCUCUCUGAGCAGAUGGUCAUUAAUGUGGCCACCCAAUCCACGGAGACUCUACCUGAGCACGGACAUCACCUCUGAACACCGCUGAAGACGCAGGCACUCUCUCAGAAGAGUUUAUACAUGGCUGCCGAAUCUGGUGGUAUUUCAAGUCAUCUGAUGCACGCUGAUGGAUGAAUCAGAAGAUCUAAAGCUUUAAGAAGGCAGAUCUACACAAAGAUGGACCC